UGUGACGUGUUUUAAUGCGUGCGUGCUGAACGUUCGAGCCGCGUUGGUUCAAACACUGGAGCGGAGGGAGUUGCCAUGGAAACUGAGCGGCAACACAACGACUGACAAGCAGGAAGCUCCGUUUCUCGCUGCUGUUUUUACUGUUUUCGAAGAAAAACAAAAGCACGGCAAGAUGGGAGGCUCCAAGAUUUCACAAUUUCUGAAGGGAGCCGAGACGGAGAAGUAAGGAACACAAGUGAACAGACUUAGAGCUGACCUCCUGUCGGACAACAUCUCCCAGGCACAAUGAACAAUAUGGUUAUUAGAGAUUACACCAGUUCCAGUUUGGAUCCAGCCUCGCGUGUGAAGACUUCAGAAGACGCCAACACUCACAAAAACUUCAGACGCAACUAGAUGAACAUACAAAGCUGCCAAAUAAUCCUUAUAUUGUAAUCAUUGCCCUAAAAGGUAGGAACUUGUCAACAAAUCUACCUCACAGCGCAUCAAUGAAAGCAGUUUGGCAAUUACAGACGGGUGUGUUGGAUCAGGGUGAGAUCUGAAUUCUGCAGGUUUUCUGGAUUCCCAGUUGAAGACAUCAGUACAUCAGAUGUUGGCCUGGACAGCUGUAUCUACAGUACACCACACUGACCUCUGCUUUUGCAUAGAUGGCUGACUACUACCAUAGUAUUAUUGGUAUUAUGUUCUAAGGCAGGGGUACUCAAGUUCAGAGGCCAAGCGGGCCGCAUUUAAACUACAUAUUGCUAUAAUAUAAUAUAAUAUAAACCACAAAUUACAAUUUGCAUCAUCAGACUUUAUUUAAGACAAUAUUUGCAGAUUUACUGAUUUAGAAAUACAGUUUAUUACUUAUCUAAGUCUUGCUUGUCCUUGUCCUAUUUAAAAUAAGA